rnacentral:rRNA from 1 species
AGUGAACGCUGGCGGCAGGCCUAACACAUGCAAGUCGAGCGGCAGCGCGGGGGCAACCCUGGCGGCGAGCGGCGGACGGGUGAGGAAUGCAUCGGAAUCUACCUCGUUGUGGGGGAUAACCUCGGGAAACCGGGACUAAUACCGCAUACGACCUACGGGUGAAAGUGGGGGUCCUUCGGGCCUCACGCGAUGAGAUGAGCCGAUGCCGGAUUAGCUAGUUGGCGGGGUAAAGGCCCACCAAGGCGACGAUCCGUAGCUGGUCUGAGAGGAUGAUCAGCCACACUGGAACUGAGACACGGUCCAGACUCCUACGGGAGGCAGCAGUGGGGAAUAUUGGACAAUGGGCGCAAGCCUGAUCCAGCCAUGCCGCGUGUGUGAAGAAGGCC